GGCCCGAUGGUGUAGUUGGUUAUCACAUCUGCUUCACAUGGUAAUUCUUUACCUAAUAUUGUGCGCAGGCGGUCCUCGGUUCGAGCCCGGGUCGGGUCA